GACACCUAAUAAAGAAGAGACCAUCAGUAAUUAGAAUUAAUUGUGGUGGGGGAAUUUAAAAAAGUGUUUGAACCUGAAAACGGAUGGCAGACUUUUGCUUGAAAUGAUGGCAGUAACAGUGCCUGUAUGGUACCACUCACCUGCAGGUCUCUGAUAUUCUCAAGACUGAGAAUAGGCACCAUACUGUGAAUUUUUUUUCCUCUAGACAGCUCACAUUUCUGGAUUUCCAGGUUUUGACACUCAUGCCUUAGACCCCAGUACCACAGAACAAAUAAAGUUAAUAUUCCAUCCCACGCAACCAGAGAUUUGAAUAUUUCAGAGAAGGCCACAAAUUAGGGAGACCAUAUUUAUGGAUGGAUGUGCAAAGGGUUCUUGAAAUUUCCAUAUAUUGCUGGGUUAUUUUCUUAAUUUAGGUAAAGGGCUGUACAAAGGCCAGUUUGGGUUUUGUUUGAUGUGAAUGCAUGACAACACAGGAGCAGAGUGAACUACUGUGGAGCUGCUUUUUCCUCACCAGCAGUUGUAACAAAAUAGGCACCUGGCAGAUGUGCAAUAUCCUUAUUACAUGAUGUCCAUAGAACUGCAGUGCUGGAAUAGAAGAAUGUGUCACCUUUGAGAACAGCCUGUGAUAUUAAAGCUGACCGACACAAUGUAAGUGAGAAAAAUGAGGAUGGCCUAAUAACCAUAUUUUUCCCAGCAGGGAAUGGCUCCUGUGUAUGCAUAUACAUCACCCUUCCUCCUGAAAGAUCUACUUAGACCUGGAAGAAAAUGUGGUUUUGAUGAGACAAAGAUUCAGAGGCUCAGCAAGACCUGCAAAUCACUGCACUGGCUUCUUGCUCCUUAACUGAGCCGCAGUGGAAGCUUUACCCGUGGUUUUGUCCUCCACGGCCAUGUCGAAGGCGAUCCUGCCGGUGGGCCCCGCGUCGGCCGGGGCGCGCUCGUGCUGCGGCAGGGGAGCGCUGCUGAAG